rnacentral:rRNA from 1 species
GACGAACGCUGGCGGCGUGCUUAACACAUGCAAGUCGAACGGAAAGGCCCUGCUUUUGUGGGGUGCUCGAGUGGCGAACGGGUGAGUAACACGUGAGUAACCUGCCCUUGACUUUGGGAUAACUUCAGGAAACUGGGGCUAAUACCGGAUAGGAGCUCCUGCUGCAUGGUGGGGGUUGGAAAGUUUCGGCGGUUGGGGAUGGACUCGCGGCUUAUCAGCUUGUUGGUGGGGUAGUGGCUUACCAAGGCUUUGACGGGUAGCCGGCCUGAGAGGAUGACCGGCCACAUUGGGACUGAGAUACGGCGCAGACUCCUACGGGAAGCAGCAGUGGGGAAUAUUGCACAAUGGGCGGAAGCCUGAUGCAGCAACGCCGCGUGCGGGAUGACGGCCUUCGGGUUGUAAACCGCUUUCGCCUGUGACGAAGCGUGAGUGACGGUAAUGGGUAAAGAAGCACCGGCUAACUACGUG